UUAUUUCUAAUCUGAUUUUCUCUAUAGCCUCAUGGAUUUGUUUCCUUAUUUCACUUGCUGUCUUUUUAGAAAUUUCAGGUGUAUUACUCCUAAUUGAAAGGAUUUUGCCCUGAAUUGGAAGCUGCAGAACUGGGAGGCUGGGAGGCAGAACCAAGGGGCUCUACCUUGAGGUCACCUUUCCUGCUCCUAGGCAAUUUAUCUGUGGCACGAAAUGAAUUCCAAUGGACUACUGGUGCAUCAAUAAUGCCCCUUAGGCACCACCUCAAACCUAAGCUAUAUGUAUGCCUCUACACCAUGUGUCGGGCAGAGAGAAUGCCAGACCUUGGAGGUCAUAUGCUCUCUCCACAUUCUUAAAAUAAAGGCCACUUUUAUUUCAUAUUUCUUAUCUUUUUAGCCAUGCUGAAAAUUCUAUCAGAUGGUUCCCUGACCAGGAAUUGACAGAUGAGUGGUUCCCGGGACCCUCCCAGGCUGAGUACCCUGCUGGUUCAUGGACUGGACUGCAUACUGGAUUAAUUCCUCACUUCUCAACAUGCGGGAGCUGCUAAACUUGUCACCAAUGGUUUGCAAACAACACCAGUCUAAUUCAUUUACUUCAGAUCCGUGCCGGGAAGAUGCAAGGGUCAGCGGUGGAAGCCAGAAAGUCUAUGCCAGCUGGAUGAAUGAGUUGUGCUAGAAGGAAUAGGGUUCUAUGCUGGAGCCAAGAAAUCACAUUCACAACAAAGACCAGGGCUAUCCUGAAAGGCACCACAGCCAUCCUCAGCAACAUAGAGGCCCCGAGCUCCUCUGACGACAAGCACAGUAGAGUACUAGCCAGGAAGCCAGCAUGCCAAGUGCAGCCUGGAGACCAAGCAGAACACGUCUUCCCCUCUGGAGCCAGGAAGCAAUGGUCAAUGUGAGGACCAGAGAUUCUCCAGGAGAACCAACGACUCAAACAGCAACAUGUAGGAGAACCCACAAUGCUUCCAUGCAACAAUGCAUUAACACCUCAACCCUCAACAUCUCCCUUCUACUCCACCUAUUUAUCCUGGCAAAUUUCCUCAGGUGGAGCAUCUUUGCUAAUUGCCAUGCUGAUGUAAUCCAGCUGGCAUUAAGUUGACCACCAGUUCUUAAUCCAUAACAAAGACCAACACUGAGGCAGAGGCCAGGCUUGAGCCUUUCCCAGCCCAUCCACCAGCCCUGGCUCAGCCCUCCACCAAGCUAUAAUUAACUAUAUUCAACUGGUAUUAAAUGACACCAUAGCUUAUCUCUCUCCUAAAUAAAAAGGUAAAAUUAAUAAAA